rnacentral:rRNA from 1 species
AUGUCAACUAUGGGUGGCUCCAACAAUUCUCAUUGGUCUCAAACCAAUGAAGCGCAUGAAGAUGGUCAUGAGUUUGAGGUGGACGAGGAUGGUGAGGGUAUCAUCAAUGCACCGAAAGGAAGAGUGGGCAACUACACCAUGGAAGAAGACAUGCUAUGCAAUACAUGGUUGCAUGUGUCUAUGGAUGCCAACGUUGGAGGGGACCAAAGUAGAGAUACAUAUUGGGUCCGGAUGAAGGAGCACUUUGAGUGGAAUUGA